GCGGAUGGCCGGAUGACCGCGGCGGGUGUUAAGCCUGUCGAGGAAAGUCCGGACUCCAUGAAGAAAGGGCGCCGGGUAACUCCCGGCCGGGGUAACCCGAGGGAAAGCGCAACAGAGAAGAGACCGCCUGCAAUUUUGCAGGUAAGGGUGAAACGGUGGAGUAAGAGACCACCGCGGUCCUGGUAACAGGAAUGGCAAGGCAAGCCCCGCCCGGAGCAAUGCCGAAUAGGGACCUCGCGCGGGGCAUGAUCGGAUCCGUCCGAUAUCGCCGCAGGGAGCUUCAGCCCGAGAGGUCCGGGUUGGCAGCCAGAUCCCCCCGGUAACGGUGGGACCAGAGGAAUGGUCAUCUAUGGGACGUCAGUCCCGGGACAGAAUCCGGCUUACAGGCCAUCCGCGCAA
rnacentral:RNase_P_RNA from 1 species